rnacentral:rRNA from 1 species
GACGAACGCUGGCGGCGUGCUUAAUACAUGCAAGUCGAACGGAAAGGCCCUGCUUUUGUUGGGUGCUCGAGUGGCUAACGGUUGAGUAACACGUGAGUAACCUUCCGUUGACUUUGGGAUAACGGCAGGUAACUGGGGCUAAUACCGGAUAGUAGCUCCUGCUGCAUGGUGUGGGUUGGAAAGUUUCGGCGGUUGGGGAUGGACUCGCGGCUUAUGAGCUUGUUGGUGGGGUAGUGGCUUACCAAGGCUUUGACGGGUAGCCGGCCUGAGAGGGUGACCGGCCACAUUGGGACUGAGAUACGGCCCAGACUCCUACGGGAGGCAGCAGUGGGGAAUAUUGCACAAUGGGCGGAAGCCUGAUGCAGCAACGCCGCGUGCGGGAUGACGGCCUUCGGGUUGUAAACCGCUUUCGCCUGUGACGAAGCGUGAGUGACGGUAAUGGGUAAAGAAGCACCGGCUAACUACGUG